rnacentral:RNase_P_RNA from 1 species
CGGAGAGGUCGAGGUGAUCGCUGGUGCGAAAGCACGAGAGGAAAGUCCGAGCUUCAUAGGGCAGGGUGCUGGCUAACGGCCAGUCGAGGUAACUCGCAGGACAGUGCAACAGAAAGCAAACCGCCUGCGCGAGCAGGUAAGGGUGAAACGGUGCGGUAAGAGCGCACCGCCUUCUCGGUGACGAGGAGGGCACGGUAAACCCCACCCGAAGCAAGACCAGACAGGGGUCGUGUGGCCCGCACGAUGACUCCGGGUUGGUCGCUCGAGCCUCGCAGCAAUGCGGGGCCUAGAAGAAUGAUCGCCACCAAACAGAACUCGGCUUACCGACCUCUCCGCCGU